rnacentral:rRNA from 1 species
GACGAACGCUGGCGGCGUGCUUAACACAUGCAAGUCGAACGCUGAAGCUCAGCUUUUGUUGGGUGGAUGAGUGGCGAACGGGUGAGUGACACGUGAGUAACCUGCCCCCUUCUUUGGGAUAACGCCCGGAAACGGGUGCUAAUACUGGAUAUUCACUGGUCUUCGCAUGGGGGUUGGUGGAAAGGGUUUUUCUGGUGGGGGAUGGGCUCGCGGCCUAUCAGCUUGUUGGUGGGGUGAUGGCCUACCAAGGCUUUGACGGGUAGCCGGCCUGAGAGGGUGACCGGUCACAUUGGGACUGAGAUACGGCCCAGACUCCUACGGGAGGCAGCAGUGGGGAAUAAUGCACAAUGGGCGCAAGACUGAUGCAGCGACGCGGCGUGAGGGAUGGAGGCCUUCGGGUUGUGAACCUCUUUCGCUCAUGGUCAAGCCGCAACAAUGGUUGUGGUGAGGGUAGUGGGUAAAGAAGCGCCGGCUAACUACGUG